GACGAACGCUGGCGGCGUGCUUAACACAUGCAAGUCGAACGGAAAGGCCCUGCUUUUGUGGGGUGCUCGGGUGGCGAGCGGGUGAGUAACACGAGAGUAACCUACCCUUGACUUUGGGAUAACUUCAGGACACUGGGGCUAAUACAGGAUAGGAGCUCCUGCUGCAUGGUGGGGGUUGGACAGUUUCGGCGGUUGGGGAUGGACUCGCGGCUGAUCAGCUCGUUGGUGGGGUAGUGGCUUACCAAGGCUUUGACGGGUAGCCGGCCUGAGAGGGUGACCGGCCACAUUGGGACUGAGAUACGGCCCAGACUCCUACGGGAGGCAGCAGUGGGGAAUAUUGCACAAUGGGCGGAAGCCUGAUGCAGCAACGCCGCGUGCGGGAUGACGGCCUUCGGGUUGUAAACCGCUUUCGCCUGUGACGAAGCGUGAGUGACGGUAAUGGGUAAAGAAGCACCGGCUAACUACGUG
rnacentral:rRNA from 1 species